GGCGGGCGCCCCUCCCCCAGCCUCGCUGCCGCCUUGCAGUUUGAUCUCAGACGGCUGUGCUAGCAAUCAGUGAGACUCCGUGGGCGUAGGACCCUCCCAGCCAGGUGCCGGAUAUAAUCUCGUGGUGCGCCGGUUUUUAAGCCCGUCGGAAAAGCGCAGUAUUCAGGUGGGAGUGACCCGAUUUUCCAGGUGCCGUCUGUCACCCCUUUCUUUGACUAGGAAAGGGAACUCCCUGACCCCUUGCACUUCCCGAGUGAGGCAAUGCCUCGCCCUGCUUCAGCUCGCACAUGGUGCGCGCACCCACUGACCUGCGCCCACUGUCUGGCACUCCGUAGUGAGAUGAACCCGGUACCUCAGAUGGAAAUGCAGAAAUCACCCAUCUUCUGCGUCACUCAAGCUGGGAGCUGUAGACCGGAGCUGUUCCUAUUCGGCCAUCUUGGCUCCUCCGCUCUAUUUGCAGUUCUUAAAGGGCCCCAGGAUCCUCUAUUAAAUGUGUGGUCCAUGAACCAGCAGCUUCAGCAUGACCUGAGAGCUCAUAACCUCGUCUCUACAAAAAAUACAAAAAAAGUUAGCCAGGCAUGGUGGUACACGCCUAUGGUCUCAGCAACUUGGGAGGCUGAGAUUCAUAGCAAGUGAAACAUUCCAGAUGUUAAAAGCGUGGACAGUGAGGUCCAUGGACCGGCAGGAUCAGCAGCCCCAGAAGCUCCUUGGACCUGCAAGACCCUCCGGCCCCACCACAGCCCUACUGAACCAGGAUCAGACUUUAAAAAAGAAUCCAAUGCCAGUUUGAGAAGCCCAACUCAAAAAUCUAGACCAACAACCUGGUCUACCUUCCUGGCCAAGUCUCGCCACAUGGCAUCAUUUCCUCCUCACCUGCAGAAUCGCUGUGACUUAUGGCUCCUCUGAUUGCACCUGCUUUCACCAGCAGCCCUGGAAGAGAGCUCUUCUGUGUGGAUAAGAGUUGAGAGAUCUUGGUUUCAUUACUUGUUUAAAUUGGACCCUCUCAAAUGAAUGUAAGCACAUAAUGGGGGGACUACACUAUGAGAUUAAAAGGAAUCCAGCUGUUACCAGAAAUGGGUGCCUGCCAGGUUUAUCCACCAAAUUCUUUCCACUUCAUGUCAUUAAAAUAAAAUUUGAGUUUUAAAAUGAAAAUUUCUCAGAUUGAUAUGAAUUUGUCUCAUUGAUUUUAUUAAUAUAGCCAGUUAACAUAACAAUUCUAUCAUACAAGGAAAUGAGAAUAAUACAAAAGCAAAAAUAAGGGUAGGG
rnacentral:lncRNA from 10 species